UGUGCAUCUGUUACUGGAGGGAGGUGAUGAGGGAAUACUCAAUGGAAAACAGUGGCACUUGUCCUGCUCACAUCUUCAUGUACACCUUUCCCUGCCAGGAAGCCUCUUCUGCACACUCUCCAUUUAGAAAUUUAUAGCAAUUUUUAUAGCACAUUAAUUAAAGACUCUUCCCUGCCACUCUUCUAGUUUCCGUUAUUACUAGAAAAGUACAGAAUUAAAGUUUUUCCCCAAUCAUGAUUAGAAAAAUACUGAGUAUUAAUGAAUAAGAAUUUCUCUAAGUUCCUAAGUUAUUUACUUAGAUUUACAGAGGAAUUGGAACCUCUGAUUCUACUGUCAUCCAAAAUGAGCAAUGGAGAAGAUUUCUUGAAUCAGGACCACUACAAAAAUUGGUAAUCAUUCCAUGACUGAGUGAAGCAAGCUUCCUCACCCAUCACUAUAUAUGACCUUGCUGAUUUACAAACCCUGCAGAGUCUCUGAUACACAAUAGAAGACUUGAGUUUGGAGACACAACAU